CGUUCUCUGUCCAGUUCGUCGUGUUCGGUCUUCGGCCACCUCUUUGCAGGGUCGUAUUCUGAAUAAUAGUGCAAGGUACUUUGAGUAAAUGGUCCACAAAUCAGUGCAUCUGGAGUGCUAGGAUGUGUGGGGACAAAAAGAUGCCAUUGCAUAGGCCCGUUGGCAGAGAAAUCAAAGGUUGGGAAUACCACGCUUUACCAGGCGUUGUCAGCAAUGAUUGAUGAGAUAAUUGGUUUAGCUGCUUUCGGAAGAGGCGACGGGAAUCAUAAAAACCAUGAUGGGUAUGGAGAUCAACAUGAAGAGAGAUGGAAGAGUCUAUAAUUCGUUUUCCUGCCAACAAGCAUCACAAGUAAUAUCGAGAGCGAGCAGUUGCAGAUGAGAGGGGAGACGAGCGUGGGUGGAGGUCAGGCUUUGGCAAGGGAGACGUGGGUCCGCGGUGGAGUGUGAAAGAUGACGUCGAUUGGCCGUUGCCGCGCCACAGGCUCCUGUUUGGCAGCGGCUAUAUGCACGGUCGUCGAAGAAUAUCGCUAUGAUGUAUAUUUCUGUGGGUUUCUCCAUUUGAAUGCUUCUCCUCAACGACCGUGUCAAUCUGGCUUGCGUUUGCAACUGUGAUUUUGGUUGAGAUGUGCAAGAUCAUCCCUCUCUAGAUUCUAAUUUUGUCUGUAGGUUUAUGUACAUUUGAUUUGUCGGUGGCUAAGGUAGUGGUGAUGGCACAGGCUAACUGAUUCAGCCUUUUGCUUCGAAUAUUUGUACUUCUCCAUUUCUUAAUUGUUGAGACAAAAAUAAUAACCUUAGGUAAAACUGCUGUCUAAACAUAGUGCGUAUUUCUUUUACGAAAGAAAAUGUUGUGCAACAUGCUCAUCCAUGAGAACCAUCUAUUCAGCUUUUAUCUAAUUACACAUUGAACAAUUUGAUUAUGAAUCUAUUCUGGUGCAGCCUAUCUACGCUUGCAUUGCUAAUAUUGUUAUAAGUAAUCUAUGGCAUUCCUGAUAAAUGAAUGUUGAAUGGGGAUGUCAUGUCAUAGGUUAACCCUAUUGCUUUGUUUUUUCUCUUGAACUUCCAUAUGCGUGCCCACUUUAGACACCACAAAUUAAUUUGGAGUUUGAUUCUAUACUUUUUAUUUGCUUUAUUGUUUUGCUGAUCUAGAGAAAGCCGAGGACAAUUAGAGAGUUCCAUUCCAUUUAUGCAGAUGAAGAUGAUAAUGAGAAAUUCCAACAUUAUGCCUUUCCCAUUGAAGAAGCAAAUUCUAGCAGAGAAGCCAAUUUUGUAGAUUGAAGAACUUUAGGUUGACAAGCCUGAAAAAGCCUGUGUAAACUGUGUUCUUUAAGCCGCCGUCGAUCUGUCCAUGGACACUGACCUGGGCUGUCGCGGCUUCACCCACACCCAGUGCCUCCCCAAUAUGUACGACCAACCAACACAAAGAGGCACAAUGUCCUUGACCUUGGGGUUGGCGCUGCACGCCGACGCAGCCGCCGACGAUUUGUCCUUGGAAACAGACAUGGACGAGUUUAACAACCCAGGCCAGAGAAAAAUGUUGCCUUCUCUUACAUCGAUCUGUGGUUCCAUCCCAUGGAUGUACUAGCUACAGUGGGAGGGGCGGAAGCGCCUGCCACUGCGAGGACUGCGAAGAGGUGAGGUGCUACUGCUACUGGAACCACGACCAUGGCGGCACCAAGAAGUUCCUCCUAUUCGCAUCCCACGACAAAGAUUAUCUGGUCACAACGCCUCUUCCCCCAUCUGUCUUUUUGUAUGUGCUGCUCCCGUCGAUCGAUUCAGACUUCAGAGUUUCCUCUGUACAUUUCCUCCUUCUGAGACAUCAAAGGAGGGUUCAAUUUGAGGUUUUCUUUAGGGGCUGAUUUUUUUUUGCUUAAUUUCAUCUUUGCCUCAAAAUGUUACUCUGAAUGAUACAUGCUAAAAUCUGUCUGGGAAUGGAUAGAACAUAACAUUUUGCCUUUUGGGAAAUCUGUUUCACAACAUAUGUAUGUUAUGCACCAAGAGGUGGCAAGAAGAAUACUCUGCACUGUACUGUACUAUGUGUGUGCCUGCCAAACUGUUUACUGAAUACUUUUUGCAAGUGAAAAAAUGCUUCAAAUGCUGCUAAUGCUGAGAACCACCGUUGCUGGUCUUAGAAAGGGAGGGGUUUUCAUGAUUAUUUUGGGUGUUAAAUUUUCACUGAAAAAAUAUGUUUAGUACCAUUCUUAGCUAGGUUUUGUGCAUGGAAUAAACUUGUUUCAGGAUAUUUUACCUGGAAGAACUGACUGACAACAAAUGAAGAGGUAGCAGUAAAACAAACACUCUGCACAUGCGUGUCAAACUAAUCAUUGAUACUCCAACUGAAGCUAACUCUUGUGAAGAUAGAGAAUUACUACACUGCUGUCUGCGUGCAUGUGAAGAUCUUUUGGAGAUAAUUACUUAUGUACCAAUACCAUGAGUCCGCUAUUUAUUAAUGUUCACCAAAAAUGAUGAUAAAUUUGGUAAUUAAUUGGUGUCUAUUAAGUGUAAACUUUAUCGAUUUUUUGUGUGAGUUCCGUGCCAAUGAGUCCUUUUGUUUUCUUUGUUUUCCAGAGCACUCAAUAAAUAAAACAGAGCACAGAGCAGUAGCCUUUGGACCAAGUUAUAGUUUGUGCUUGGUAUUAAAUGAUUUGGAGCAGGCUACAUCUGUGAUGACACAGAUUGGUUAUGCAGGAUCUCUUGGCUAAACCUUCUGCUUUAUCAUGAGGACAACAAUAGUGGUUAGUUCUCAUCUGAGCUUGAGUUGUGGUGAAUGCGACCGAUGUUUCGACCGCAUACGAAGAUGUAGUUCUUUUGAUUUAUCGACUAAUAUUAUCGUAUAUAGACGUGAUCCUAUACAGAGGCGAAGUGUGGUAGCAGACUACCCUAUCCUUAUUGUAAAUUAUGUGUGAUCACCGCUAUGAGGCAGUCCUUCGGAUGGAUUUAACACUCCAUGGUUGUUGUAAAUUAUGAAUAAAUUAUGCUGUAGUUUUAGUAUUGUUCUCUAAUCC